ACAGCGGGAAGAUUUCGGUCGGACCAGUGCAUGCCUAGUGGCGGACGGGUGAGUAACGCGUGGGUAACCUGCCUUACACAGGGGGAUAACACUUAGAAAUAGGUGCUAAUACCGCAUGAGCGCACAGGACCGCAUGGUCGAGUGUGAAAAACUGAGGUGGUGUAAGAUGGACCCGCGUCUGAUUAGCUAGUUGGUGAGGUAACGGCCCACCAAGGCGACGAUCAGUAGCCGGCCUGAGAGGGUGGACGGCCACAUUGGGACUGAGACACGGCCCAAACUCCUACGGGAGGCAGCAGUGGGGGAUAUUGGACAAUGGGGGGAACCCUGAUCCAGCGACGCCGCGUGAGUGAAGAAGUAUCUCGGUAUGUAAAGCUCUAUCAGCAGGGAAGAAGAAAUGACGGUACCUGAGUAAGAAGCCCCGGCUAACUACGUGCCAGCAGCCGCGGUAAUACGUAGGGGGCAAGCGUUAUCCGGAAUUACUGGGUGUAAAGGGAGCGUAGACGGUGAUGUAAGUCUGGAGUGAAAGGCGGGGGCCCAACCCCCGGACUGCUCUGGAAACUAUGUGACUGGAGUGCAGGAGAGGUGAGCGGAAUUCCUAGUGUAGCGGUGAAAUGCGUAGAUAUUAGGAGGAACACCAGUGGCGAAGGCGGCUCACUGGACUGUAACUGACGUUGAGGCUCGAAAGCGUGGGGAGCAAACAGGAUUAGAUACCCUGGUAGUCCACGCCGUAAACGAUGAUCAC
rnacentral:rRNA from 1 species